UGGUGAUCCAAGUAAACAUCUUUAAACCAAUCACAAACAAGUAUUCUAGAUUUUCAAUUCUUUAAAGUUUAUGUCUUCCAUAUUUAAAUUUACAGGGAACGGGAAAGAAAUCACCUUUCAUUUAAAAUCACAUUUCUCAUCUUCUCGAAUUGCCGUCUCUCUAGAACCUCCUCACUAUCUUCAUCUUCUCCAUUAACGACUCUGGAGAUCAAUGUCAUCAUUACCUUUACUUACAGCUAAUCCGUUCACCAUUACCUUACUUCCAUCAAACCCCCACACCAACAAUAGAGUUUCUCAUGACAUUCUCCCUCUCUCUUUCUUCAACGCCACCUCCAUUCUCAAACACGGGUAGGAUAAAAUUUUUUCAAAUCUUUAUGUGUAGAUCCAUUUGUGUGUGUGUUUUACAGAAAGAGACUAAGGCCACAGAUUUGAAUCUGCAAAUUCUACACAAAAAGACAAAAAGUUGGAUCUCUUAUAAUCUGUUGUAGAUAUUUGUAGGUCUUACUUACUCAAUGCAGUGUAGAUAUGUGUUUUAGAUGUGUUUUUUGUUGUAUUUUGUAAGUAUCUAUAUUUUGUUUAAAGAUAAAUGAAUUAAUUAGUUCUAUGUUUUUUAUUAUUAUUAUUUAGAUAUGUAUAAUGGAUUUCAAUGAUUUGGAAUAAGAACUAGGAACUGUAUGUCACAGAUUAA